CUGAAAGCUAAAAAUGCCAUUUAUCGAUACGAAUUAAACAACAAAUUGUACAAAGUUCCAGAAUGACAAAUCCAAUUUUACCAGAAAGAAUACAGCAAGAAGCCCUUUAUUUCUGCAAAAAGAGAGACUAAUUUUUUGAACUAGACAGAUGAGCAAUGGAAAACACUUCACUACUGUGAAGCAUGGCGGAGGAAGAAGAGGUCUUUUUCUUGGUUUGGCAUGGAUACUCUGGUUAAGAUAGACAGGCUAAUAUAUCUUUUCGUUUAUCGUGACACAACUUGAGUUUAAGGUGAACCUUCCAAGACGAUAACUAUCCAAAACACACUUCUAAGUUAGUUAAAGGAUGGUUUGCUUCUUAAAGAUUACGUGUAAUGUCGUGGCCAGUACAAAGCCUACACAUCAAUUCAAUUGAAAACCUUUGGGAUGAAAUUGAUAAUAAAAUCUAUACAACGAUAUUGCCAAAUUUGAAUGAAGUCUACGAAGAAGUUCAAAAUCAGUGGAAAAAAGUGUCUAACGAUUAUAUUGAAAAUCUACUGAAAUCAAUGAAAAAAAGAUGUUUGAAAGCUAUUAAAAAUAGUGGAUAUACUAUUAUAUACUAAAUAAAGUAACGUUAAAUGUA